GUUCUGUUUAUUUCAGAGGGGUUCUGUUCAUGUAGGAGAGGUUCUGUUCAUGUAGGAGAGAGGUUCUGUUCAUGUAGGAGAGGUUCUGUUUAUGUAGGAGAGAGGUUCUGUUCAUGUAGGAGAGGUUCUGUUCAUGUAGGAGAGAAGUUCUGUUCAUGUAGGAGAGAGGUUCUGUUCAUGUAGGAGAGAGGUUCUGUUCAUGUAGGAGAGGUUCUGUUCAUGUAGGAGAGAGGUUCUGUUCAUGUAGGAGAGAAGUUCUGUUCAUGUAGGAGAGAGGUUCUGUUCAUGUAGGAGAGAGGUUCUGUUCAUGUAGGAGAGGUUCUGUUCAUGUAGGAGAGGUUCUGUUCAUGUCAGAGAGGUUCUGUUCAUGUAGGAGAGGUUCUGUUCAUGUAGGAGAGAGGUUCUGUUCAUGUAGGAGAGAGGUUCUGUUCAUGUAGGAGAGGUUCUGUUCAUGUCAGAGAGGUUCUGUUCAUGUAGGAGAGGUUCUGUUCAUGUAGGAGAGAGGUUCUGUUCAUGUAGGAGAGGUUCUGUUCAUGUCAGAGAGGUUCUGUUCCUGUCAGAGAGGUUCUGUUCAUGUAGGAGAGGUUCUGUUUAUGUAGGAGAGGUUCUGUUUAUGUAGGAGAGAGGUUCUGUUCAUGUCAGAGAGGUUCUGUUCCUGUCAGAGAGGUUCUGUUCAUGUAGGAGAGGUUCUGUUUAUGUAGGAGAGGUUCUGUUCAUGUAGGAGAGAGGUUCUGUUCAUGUAGGAGAGGUUCUGUUCAUGUAGGAGAGGUUCUGUUCAUGUCAGAGAGGUUCUGUUCAUGUAGGAGAGGUUCUGUUUAUGUAGGAGAGGUUCUGUUCAUGCUACAGAGAGGUUCUGUUCAUGUAGGAGAGGUUCUGUUCAUGUAGGAGAGGUUCUGUUUAUGUAGGAGAGGUUCUGUUCAUGUAGGAGAGGUUCUGUUCAUGUAGGAGAGAGGUUCUGUUCAUGUAGGAGAGGUUCUGUUCAUGUCAGAGAGGUUCUGUUAAUGUAGGAGAGGUUCUGUUCAUGUCAGAGAGGUUCUGUUAAUGUAGGAGA